rnacentral:rRNA from 1 species
GCCCAAGAGAUCGGGAUAACACCUGGAAACAGAUGCUAAUACCGGAUAACAACAGAUGAUGCCUAUUCAACUGUUUAAAAGAUGGUUCUGCUAUCACUCUUGGAUGGACCUGCGGUGCAUUAGCUAGUUGGUAGGGUAACGGCCUACCAAGGCGAUGAUGCAUAGCCGAGUUGAGAGACUGAUCGGCCACAUUGGGACUGAGACACGGCCCAAACUCCUACGGGAGGCAGCAGCC